rnacentral:lncRNA from 1 species
CCAAAGCCUGGUGAGGAAGAGCCGCCGAGCGGAGUCGGUGUCCCCUGUCCUCUCCCUGAACGAAAGUGCUUUCUUUCUCUGUAGCUGCUCUUCCUAAACGUGUGUUGGCUUGAGAUUGGAGUUAGCCUGGCCUACCUGUGCCACCAGGGCUUUGGGUCCCAAAGAGCUGGCACCUGAGGCAAGUCCAAGCAAAAGGCCGGAUUUCUCACCAUUAGGAGGGCAAUG